GCGAGCCCUCCUAAUCCCUAACCGCAUCCGCCCUACGCCCCGUCCGAAGGCAGCGCCGCCAGCCCCCUCCAAUGCCGCCGCGCCGCCAGCCCACUCCAGCGCCACCGCCCGAUGCAUGGACGCCCUCCCCCUACGCGACCGGCGCCCUAAGCCAGGCGCGGCCUUGCAUCCCCAACGCCGCCGCCCUAGGACGCCGCCCUGCAUCUCCAAUGUCGCGCCACCCGUUCACCCGACGCGAGGACGCCUCUGCCUGAAUCGAGGACGUCAGCGCCCUGCACCACUGCUCCUCGAAGCCACACUACCUCUGAAAGUAUCCGACCCUGCACCACUUCCAUCAGCCUUCAGGCACCUUAUUUUAAUUUAACUGUGACAGACAAACGCUGUACUGGAACUAGCUCACAGUAUCAACCACAUCGUGUUGCUUUCUGGGACGCCCUCUUUGUCAAGGUUGCAACUUCUAAAUAUACCCAUUGAAUUUCUCUCGGGGAUUCUUGUGCUGUUGUGCUAUUUUACUCAUGGAUAUAUAAAACUUUGAACAUGCAAAUAGAUUUAUAGUUUUACCAUUUUCCUGAAGAUGUAGUUCGUAGUUGUACUGUUUUCUUGUUACCAGUUGUUACAUGUGAUAUUUAUAUAUUCUAUGUGUAAGCUCAGUAUCUGUAUUGCGAUGUUAAAAGUGCCAUGUGUGGCUUUCCAUUCUUAUACUUUUUACCCUGCGCAUAAUAUAUCUGACUGCUUGUCUGAGGUUGACUCUCCAUAUUUGUUUGUUUUUUUGGGAUUUAACUUACAGUGUUUUCUCCUAGGUGACAACAGACCUUUUGACAUCUAUCACCAGAUAAAUAUGUUACGGUAAGGAAUGCAGAAUGACAUCUCAUUGUGUUGGUCAUAUCGAUCUUUCGUGAUCACACUCUCCCUUGUUUUUCUGUCCCAAUUUGCUUGGACAUGAUAAAUUUGAGUUUGCAAGGACAUACUGUUCACUUCAUGUUGCUCAAAGAUCUCACGGUAAAACCUACCAGGUAUUUAUAUCUUGUGAUUGUCCUUAUUGUCAAGGAGAUUGGCAGGUUGCUAUUACUAAGCUCUAUUAGAUUAUCAUUUGUUAUGUUAGGCACCGUCAGUGUUGCAGCCUUGCAGGCAUAAAUAAGUUUCAGUAAACAUGAAAUAAUGGUUCUUGCGGACUUGCACUUGCAAAAGUUCAGGAAGUAGUAUCUGACAAUCUGUACGUAAAGGGUUUGAUAUUUUUUACAUGUUGUUUCAUAUGCAGGACUUUUCAAAGGGUGCUCGGUUGACGGAGUUAAAUGUUUUGCUCAGUCAGACUCUCAUGCCUGUCGGUGGCCAUCUCGCUGCAGGCUAAGCACAUGAAGAAGUUUGGGAAGAUUUGGUCAAGAUUCUCAAAAAGUAUGACAAGAGAACUGGGGUCCUUAUCCGUCUCUUCAUUCAAAAUGCUCUGCUCCAACCUUUCUUCAACACUGUGCGAGGCUAUGCUCGACCAGCUCGUACCAUAUUGAGCAAACCAUCUGUAUCGAAUGAACAAGGAACAAAAGAUAUCAACACCAAGACAAGCCUCUAAACCCUAUGUCUUCCUUGGAUAGCAACAGAUGCAUUCCAAAGCUUGAUUAGAUUGAGUUCAUGGAGAGCAUGUACAUGAAUAGCUUGAUGAGAUAGAUUGUAAAUUCUGUGCAAAUGUUAUGUCAU